GAAAAGAAACCAAUAGUAGAAGAAUCAGUAUCCGGGAAGGAAAAGUGUAGUGCAAGUUCAUUGGGGCAGAAAAUUCCAAACAAACAAAAGGAACUUGGAACGGUAACAGUACCAUGAACAAUUAAAGAAAGAACCUUCAAAAGGGUACUAAUUGAUUUUGGAGCUAGUCUGAGUCUGAUGCCAUUAUCAAUCUAUCACAGGUUGGGUAUUAAAAAUAUCAGUGAUACAAAAAU
rnacentral:lncRNA from 1 species